rnacentral:rRNA from 1 species
GACGAACGCUGGCGGCGUGCUUAACACAUGCAAGUCGAACGAUGAAGAAAAGAAUUGAAGCUUCGGCAGAAAUUCAUUUCGGAUUAGUGGCAGACGGGUGAGUAACGCGUGAGCAACCUACCUCUUACAAAGGGAUAGCCUCGGGAAACCGGGAUUAAUACCAUAUAACAUUGCGACGAAGCAUUUCGAUGCAAUCAAAGCUACGGCGGUAAGAGAUGGGCUCGCGUCCCAUUAACCAGAUGGUGAGGUAACGGCUCACCAUAGUAACGAUGGGUAACCGGCCUGAGAGGGCGAACGGUCACACUGGAACUGAGACACGGUCCAGACUCCUACGGGAGGCAGCAGUGGGGAAUAUUGCACAAUGGAGGGAACUCUGAUGCAGCGACGCCGCGUGAGUGAUGAAGGAAUUCGUUUCGUAAAACUCUGUUCUAUGGGAAGAAAAGGACUGUACCAUAGGAGAAAGCUCCGGCUAAAUACGUG